rnacentral:rRNA from 1 species
UACGUAGGGGCCUAGCGUUGUCCGGAUUUAUUGGGCGUAAAGAGCUCGUAGGCGGUGUGUCGCGUCGGCCGUGAAAACCUGCAGCUUAACUGUGGGCUUGCGGUCGAUACGGGCAUCACUGGAGUUCGGCAGGGGAGACUGGAAUUCCUGGUGUAGCGGUGAAAUUCGUAGAUAUCGGGAGGAACACCGGUGGCGAAGGCGGCGACCUGGGUCGACACUGACGCUGAGGCGCGAAAGCGUGGGGAGCAAACAGG